CCCAGACAGCCAGGAUGUUGGCUUAGAAGCAGCCAUCAUUUAAAGAAAGCGUAAUAGCUCACUGGUCGAGUCGGCCUGCGCGGAAGAUGUAACGGGGCUAAACCAUGCACCGAAGCUGCGGCAGCGACGCUGAUGCGUUGUUGGGUAGGGGAGCGUUCUGUAAGCCUGCGAAGGUGUCCCGUGAGGGAUGCUGGAGGUAUCAGAAGUGCGAAUGCUGACAUAAGUAACGAUAAAGCGGGUGAAAAGCCCGCUCGCCGGAAGACCAAGGGUUCCUGUCCAACGUUAAUCGGGGCAGGGUGAGUCGACCCCUAAGGCGAGGCCGAAAGGCGUAGUCGAUGGGAAACGGGUUAAUAUUCCCGUACUUGGUGUUACUGCGAAGGGGGGACGGAGAAGGCUAUGUUGGCCGGGCGACGGUUGUCCCGGUUUAAGCGUGUAGGCUGGUUUUCCAGGCAAAUCCGGAAAAUCAAGGCUGAGGCGUGACGACGAGGCACUACGGUGCUGAAGCAACAAAUGCCCUGCUUCCAGGAAAAGCCUCUAAGCAUCAGGUAACAUCAAAUCGUACCCCAAACCGACACAGGUGGUCAGGUAGAGAAUACCAAGGCGCUUGA
rnacentral:rRNA from 1 species